UCAACUUGGAUUAUUGAUUCGGGUGCUUCAUACCAUGUUAUUCCUAUGCGUGAUUGCUUCUCAUCUUAUAGUGUUGGUGAUUUUGGCAUGGAAAAAUGUGAGAUGAAGGAGUAUGAAAAAUUAUCGGUAUGAAAGAUGUUUGGGUUGAAAUUGGGAUUGGUUGCAAGUUUCAAUUGAAGAAUGUUAGACAUGUUCCUAAUAUUCGUAUCAAUUUAAUUUUGGUGAAAGCCUUGGAUAUGGAGGGUUAUCACAUUUACUUUGGUGGUGGUAUAUGUAAAAUCACCAAAGGGUCUCUAGUGAUUGCAAAGGAGCAAAGUUCCACUUCUCUCUAUAGGAUACCUAUGAAGCUAUGCAAGGAAAAAGUGAAUGCAAUUGAAGACGCUUCUUUUGAUUUAUGGCAUAUGUGCCUUAGUCACUUGAGUGAGAAAGGACUUUAUAUACUUGCAAAGAAAAAUUUUCUUUUGUGAAAGGUACGUCUCUAAAAAUUUGCACUCAUUGUUUUGCUGGAAAACAACAUAGAGUCUCUUUUCAUAAUAUUGAUUCUCACAGGAGGCAAAAUAUUUUUGAUUGAGUUCAUAUUGAUGUUUGCAUGAUGGAUAGUAAAUCUCUUGGUGGUGCAUCAUAUUUUGUUACUUUUAUUGACGACCACUCUAGAAAAGGGUGGACAUUUCCUUUGAAAUCUAAAGACUAGGUACUAAGGGAAGGAAAUUAAAAUGUGUUUGAUCAAAUCACAGUGGUGAAUACAUAUGUUCAUUUGAAGAGUACUGUAGAGAACAUAGAAUCAAACUUGAGAAAACAAUUCCAAAGAUACCUCAACAUAAUGGUGUUGCAAAGAGAACAAAUCUUACAAUUAAUGACAUAAUCAGAUGUAUGCUCUGAUAAUUUGUUUACAAGAAGAUACACUUAUAAUUUGUUCACAAGAAAGACUCAGGAAAAAAAACUCAGAAAUCCAUACAAUUCAGAAAAACUUUUGAGAGCCCAAAUUUACUAAGUAUUCAAAAUUCAAUGGUUUAAGUUCUAGAGUAACACUUGCUCAAAGCAAUGUUUUCUAAGUGUUUUAGUUUGAGAAAUCAAUUGAAAAAAAUAUAUUUAGUAGAAGCAUAACACAAUCAGUUCCAAACUUGUGUAAGCUAGUCUGAUAGUUGCUUUAAUGUUCCUCAAGCAAUAUGUGGUUUUCAGGUUGUAUUGAGAAGACUUGAUUUGUAGGGUCAAGGUGUAGUUGCCUUCAACAAUAUGUGGUUUUUAGGUUCUGUGAAGACUUGACUUGUAAGGUAAAGGUGAUUGUUUGUCUCAAAAAGUCUGUAGGUGUCAGGUUGUUUUAUGAAGAUUGACUUGUAGGGUCAGGUGUUGUGUAAUUUAAGGAUUUGAAUUAGUGGUUAAAUCCUACUAAGUGAGGGGACUAGAUGUAACUACUAGAUUGGUGGUGAACCAAUAUCAAUCUACUUGUGUCACUUUACUUUUGCAGUUUUUACUUUACUGUUGCCUCUAAUUAUUUAAGCUUGAUUGCUAUUGCCUCUAUUUUAGUAAAAAUCACCAAAACCGAACUAGUUUUGAAUAAAUAACUAAAAAUAAUCCAACUUAGACAAACACAAUUCAACCCCCAUUCUCGUGUUUUUACCUUCAUGUUUAUCUUUGCAUUUUUGCCUCAUGAACUUUUUGAACUUAUGAACAAUUUGACCCAUAUCUUCCUUCAUUUUCAUCAUGAUUAUCACAAUCUUCUGAGUAACUUUCUAUGGUCUUUGCUUUCAAGGCAAGUCCUUUAUUUUUAUCUUCACCUUCACCACUUUCAACAAGUCAAUUUAGUUCGAGCUCACGUUCUUGCAAUUUAUCAAAGUAGCCAAAUCCAAGAUAAAUCUUUAGAUUUAGAAAUAGAGGCCACUUUGGGUCCACUGUGAUUCAAAUAUCUAAGAACAUUAUUAAUUAAAUCUUUCAAAGGAUUUCCCCAAAGUUAUAAGAUGGUUUACUAUAUGGAUGAAUUGUUUUUGCAUAUCUUGGAUGUUUUCUUUCGAUUGCAUCCUAAAUAGCUCAUACUCAUGAGUUAAUGUGUUCAUCCUAGCCUUUUGACUUAAGUAGUAUUUUCAUGGGUUGCUUGAAGGGUGUCCCACAUUUCCUUUUCGGUUUUACAAUGUGAAAUUCGAAAGAACUCAUCCAUGCUCAAGCCAAUGGUGAAUCUGGUGAUAAUGUUUUUUGCCUGCAAAUUGUAUUGAACCUUUUCUUUUUAAUCUUUGGUCCAGAGAUCUCUAGGUUUGUUUACCCCUACACCAUUGAUAAGAUGAGUAACAACAAAUCAACCCCUUUUAACAGCAAGCCAAAUAUCAUAAACACCUACUAUAAAAAAAAAUCUCUUUCCAAUAAUAGGGUCAGUUAAAGUAAUAAUUGUUUGAAGUCAUCUUGCCUCUUGAGACGAUUAGUCUUUACACAAGAGUUUAACUCUCAUGGCACUUGUUGAACAAAUGACUUCAAAACAAGAGGGGAGAUGAAUUGUAAACUUCGACAUCAUGCAAUAAACUAAGCAAUUAAAAUAAGUUACCAAAUGACUGAUAUUGGGCUCAUGUCAUACUACUUAGGCCUAUAAGUAAAGCAAUUGGAAGAAGGUAUAUUUAUUUCUCAAGAAAACUAUGCAAAGGAGGUUUUGAUGAAAUUUAAAAUGUUUGAUUAAAAUUCGAUGAACACACCAAUGGAGAGCAGAUUAAAUUUGUCAACAUUUGAAGAUGGACAAAAGGAGGACCCUUCUUUUUUCAAAAGCCCCGUGAAAGCCUAAGAUACUUAACAUGUACAAGGCCUUAUAUUCUAUAUGCGGUUGGAGUAGUGAAUUGUUUCAUGGAAGCUCCCACUACUACACACAUGAAAGUCACCAAGAGGAUACUCCGCUACGUUAAAGGGCAUCCAUGGAAACGGUUGAAGGUAAUGAAGAUCAUGUUGCUGAUGGGAAUGAAGAGUAUGUUUUUAAUGGAAGUACCAAUAACGAUUUAUGUGUUGGUGGUUCAAGAGUUAAUGAUGAUAGUCAAGAACCUUUCAUUGGACUAGAAUUUAGUCACAAGAAAAUGCUUGUUCAUUCUACUCUCAUUAUGCUAAAUCUAUUGAUUUGAAAUAUUUAUUACAACUAGUUGUUCAAAGAUUUCUAGCCAAUUUAUUGAUGUCAAAUAUGUUUGUACAAGAUAUGAAAAAACGAAAGCGUCCACUGCACAUAAUCCACAUCCUUGUUUGAAGGUGGAUUGUGAGGUAUCUUGGUAGAUAUUCA